CUUUUGAACAGGGUUUUAUUGAUGGAAAGCCAGCCAAGAAUGAGCCUAAUCAAAUUAGUCAAAGCAGAAGAUCUUUAAAAAGGACAGUAGACAGAGUCAUCGUGGUCGCAGCUGUGCGCUUCAAAAUUGUCAUGAAACAGCCUAGAGUCGUGGGACUUAAAAUACACCUCUGCUGUUUCUGGCAACCCUUGCAAUUAAAUUAAUUUGCCUCCUACAGACCCACCUGUCUGACCGAGCUGGAAUGCUGGCUGGAUCAACACAUAGCUAGGGCACAGAGAAGAGCAGCUGAGAUGAGAUUGAACUCGUAGCUACUGCGAAUGUAGUAGAGCAGGGAACAGGGUUCUCCCAGGGCUUACUGCACCAUUCCUACAUAUGUGAUAUCCUGGUGAAAACGAAGGUGCUAAGAGAAACCUGGCUUGGAUUAUGUAUAAAGCGCUUUUCACAAGCUGCUUGUGCGUGCUGCAUCUCCAGAGUACCGAGCGUAACUGUCAUCACCAUUCUUAGAGCAGAGAUUGCUGUGAGACCAUGAGUAAGCAGAGCAGGGGUUUUUCUACGCAUGGACUCUGACAUUUUCCAGACUAUUUCCAAGAAAAAACAAUGUCAGCUACAAACAGAUUGCUGUGAAGUAUGAAGGAACAUCGGAUAAGUAUGGACAGUAUUCAUUUACACCAAACCAAAAUACAGUCCUUAAUUAUUUGUUGGCUUAAAGCAUUUAUGUCUGCAGUGCAGACAAACUACCAAAAAAAGUGCAGUGCGUUCAAACUACCUUGGGCCCAAGAUAGCUUUGAGUAUGUCCCUGGCAUUCAUGCCUCUAGAAAGACAGAAAACUAAUGGUAAAAUGGAUCAUCUGAAUUCUUUGGAGGCAGGGGAGAAGUCUCCCAGAAUUUCUCCUGUUGAUUCAGGGAGUAACGCAUCCAGGAAGAGAUGGGCAACAGGAAUUAAAGCCGUUGUUUCUUUGCUCCUCCUCACCUUUUCCACCCAGAGUGGUAGGAAGCAGAGGAGCCUUGAGCUUGUUGCUUCCAGUGGGGGAGAAGGAAGCCAAUUUUGGAGGCUCCUACACAAGAUGGGUUUGCUACACAUCCCACUGACGUGUGCUAGUGUGAGUCAUCCAGGGAAUUCACUACCCUGUAUGCCACAGGUUCAGUGAGCAAAGUGCC